rnacentral:rRNA from 1 species
GCAAGUCGAACGGCAGCACGGGAGCAAGUCCUGGUGGCGAGUGGCGAACGGGUGAGUAAUAUAUCGGAACGUGCCCAGUCGUGGGGGAUAACGUAGCGAAAGCUACGCUAAUACCGCAUACGAUCUAUGGAUGAAAGCGGGGGAUCGCAAGACCUCGCGCGAUUGGAGCGGACCGAUAUCAGAUUAGGGUAGUUGGUGAGGUAAAGGCUCACCAAGCCGACGAUCUGUAGCUGGUCUGAGAGGACGACCAGCCACACUGGGACUGAGACACGGCCCCAGACUCCUACGGGAGGCAGCAGUGGGGAAUUUUGGACAAUGGGCGCAAGCCUGAUCCAGCAAAUGCCGCGUGCAGGAUGAAGGCCUUCGGGUUGUAAACUGCUUUUGUACGGAACGAAACGGUGAGCUCUAAUACAGUUUGCUAAUGACGGUACCGUAAGAAUAAGCACCGGCUAACUACGUG